rnacentral:piRNA from 1 species
UAUUGAAGAUGAAAGCAAGCCUGCAUAUUAAUGGGAUGGA